AUUCUCAAAACUCAAAGUGAGUUAUUGGUGGGUGUUACACAGAUUGAGCUUCCGUAAAGCAUGCUGUGUACUCAUGCCCCUGGCUGUCAAUGAGGUCAUGGCGGCAGGUCGUGCCCUGGAGCUUGAGUGAGAGUCUGUGAGAGUUGGCAGGCUCACUGGCCACAGCAAGAGAAGCCCUGGCAAGGGAAACCCUGGGGCCUUCAGUGCUGGGGUGAGUGUGCUUCCUUGGAUGCCGUAGAUUAGCUUACUAACAGCACUUGUUCCAACGUAUCUUUUAAGAGCUUAUUCUUUGGGGAUAACUUCUCUUUUCAGUACUAGCACCUGAAAUAAAUCUCAUAGCUCCUGUCUUUAGCUCAAAAGUUAUCAAAAGUUACAUUAGAAACACAAUUCUAGCAAUGAGAGAAAUGGUAUAUAUUAACUAUAAAUCUUUUUAGUUUUUAGAUGAUUUCUGUACUAUAUCAUUUAAAUUUUUUAGUGGAUAUCUUUAAAAUCUGAGCAUCCCAUAGGCAUCUGAUAGCUUUUUAUUCCAUCUGAUUUGGAUCAAGAACAGUUUUUCACAGUUUCACUCCACGCACGGAGCACUUGCCCCGCAGGCAUGGCCUCCCGGCUCGCUCUCCAGCACUGGAUACCGUGGGUGCGCUGCUCCAUUCCUGUACUCUCUGCUUUGGGAGGUUCCAAGUUAGGCCUGACUAGCCUGGACUGUAUUGGGGGUGCCUUAAAAUAACAGUAACAACAAAAGCUGCUGGAGAGGUUGGUCAGGGUUAUGUGCACUGGCUGCUUGUCCAUAGGAGCACCUUCCUGGAGGCUCACGCCUGUCUGUACCUACAGUCUGAGGCAAUCUACAUACAUACACACAUACACACAUAAGCAAACAUGCAUAUACAUAAAAACAGAAAAAAAUUAAAAUGCUCAAAAUGAAAAAAAAACCCUUUCCCUGACUCGCUAAUAAUAACAUAGUCCGCUGCUGUCAACAGCUAUUACAGAUGUUAUCCACUGUCUCCACCUUUGUCUUCGCAGAUCUGGUAUUGUGUCCAUCUGUUAUUACUAUUAGUUUUGUGGCUGAUGUGGCAGAGAUGCUCAGGCGUGUCUGCACAUGCUGAGUGUACAGGCUAAAGAGGGUUCUUAUUUGCUGAUACUGUAUGAACUUGAAUUCUCCCCACAUUCCUUUCAUCUGGAGAGCAUUAUAUUCAGGCCAUGGUGGGUACUGGGAGAGCAUUGAUGAGCUUUGGGGAGACUGGAUUUAUAAAAACAUCAGUCAUGUAAUGACUAAGUGCAGCACAUAGACAUAGUGUGCUAUUCUUAUGCCUUGGAGUCUAAAUCUUGAGGGGGUAAAUAUAAAUGAGCUGCCCACAAAGAUCGAAAGGGAUGGUGACAGGUGUCUCACAUAGUGUGCCGGCUGACAGGUGUCUCACAUACAUAGUGUGCCGGCUGACAGGUGUCUCACAUACAUAGUGUGCCGGCUGACAGGUGUCUCACAUACAUAGUGUGCCGGCUGACAGGUGUCUCACAUACAUAGUGUGCCGGCUGACAGGUGUCUCACAUACAUAGUGUGCCGGCUGACAGGUGUCUCACAUACAUAGUGUGCCAGCUGACAGGUGUCUCACUUAGUGUGCCGGCAGGUCAGCUAUUUCACAGGUGGCCAGCUGCUCACUGGUGUGCUAGGGGAGCUAUGGAGGAAGGCAGAGGGAAGAUUGCUUUGUUACAAGUGCUAAUGUUUUGAGGGAAAGUAAAGCCAUCUGUGCUCCCCUUGUUUCCUUGUGCUUGACUUCGGGUUUGCCUGUUGGAAGACUCCAACAGGUUUACUCCAAGCUGUGUACAGUCACUUCCAGUGAGCACUGUGCCGAGGCCAAGUACCAGCAGAGGGGAUGCUCAUAGCUGCAGGACUUGAAGAAAGUCCUCAGGAGGCACACGGGUUUGUGUUCUCACCACGAGAUGCUCUACCUGAGGCACAUGUUCAGGAGCCGAGAGGAAGUUGUAGUUCUUGAAAUUCUGUUAAAUUGUCUAAAUGUAGCCGAUUUUGUUAGCUCAGUUGUUUUUCUGUAUCUUAUCUC